rnacentral:rRNA from 1 species
AGAGUGAACGCUGGCGGUAGGCCUAACACAUGCAAGUCGAACGGCAGCACAGGAGAGCUUGCUCUCUGGGUGGCGAGUGGCGGACGGGUGAGGAAUACAUCGGAAUCUACCUUUUCGUGGGGGAUAACGUAGGGAAACUUACGCUAAUACCGCAUAAGACCUUCGGGUGAAAGCCGGGGACCUUCGGGCCUGGCGCGGAUAGAUGAGCCGAUGUCGGAUUAGCUUGUUGGCGGGGUAAAAGCCCACCAAGGCGACGAUCCGUAGCUGGUCUGAGAGGAUGAUCAGCCACACUGGAACUGACGACACGGUCCAGACUCCGUACGGG